rnacentral:rRNA from 1 species
UACGGGGGGAGCAAGCGUUGUUCGGAUUUACUGGGCGUAAAGGGCGCGUAGGCGGCCUCCGCAAGUCAGUUGUGAAAUCUCCGAGCUUAACUCGGAAAGGUCAACUGAUACUGCGGGGCUAGAGUGCGGAAGGGGCAACUGGAAUUCUCGGUGUAGCGGUGAAAUGCGUAGAUAUCAAGAGGAACACCUGCGGCGAAGGCGGGUUGCUGGGCCGACACUGACGCUGAGGCGCGAAAGCUAGGGGAGCGAACGGG